rnacentral:lncRNA from 1 species
CCACAACCAGAGUCAGAGGCAGCGUCAGAGGAAGAGCCAGAGGAAGAGCCUGAGGCAGAGCCAUCCCUGUGCCCCAGCUCGGAAGUCAGAGGCAGAGGAAGAGCCUGAGGAAGAGCUGGAGCCACAACCAGAGUCAGAGGCAGCGUCAGAGGAAGAGCCAGAGGAAGAGCCUGAGGCUGAGCCAUCCCUGUGCCCCAGCUCGGAGUCCCCGGCUCUGCUGCCAGCAGCCCCCAGCACCCCCUAUUCCCUGCGGAUGACUGAGCAGAGCGAUGGAGCGCAGAGCCCCAUGGAGCCCUCCCCGCCCCACUGCUCCCACACGGAGCUCAUCCAGGAGCUGAUCUGUGCCAUCCGUGGGAACCACGCAGCCGUUGAGCGCCGCUGCCAACUGCUGCGGGCAGUGCUGGAGCGGCAGAGGGCAGCCGGGACGCCCAGAGAGCCCUUUCACGACCCCCCAGCCCAGAAGCCCCCCACCCAGGAGCCCCCGGCCCAGGAGCCCCCCACCCAGAAGCCCCCCACCCAGGAGCCCCCGGCCCAGGAGCCCCCCAGUCUCCAUCUGCUUGUUCAGAUUAAUGUCCUUAG